CCAAGCCUCCGGGUCGCCAGAAAUCCGUGUUUCACGACUCUCCGAGUCCUUAUAAAUAAAACUCCUUUUUCUGUUCCGGGAUUUCUGAAAACCCCUAAGACGUCAACGGAUAGGAAGACUUCGUAUAAAACGGUGAUGGUUAUCGUACAACACCAUUCACCUCAGCAAUGGAUCGAAGAUCUUCCGAAAGACUCGACAUCCAAGUAGGAGCAUCCUUCCAGAGAAAUCAUAGAAAAACAGCGGAAGCCCGGAAUGCGGCCCGAAAGGGACCAACUCCGAUCGGACGACCAGUUUACGAUUUUCUAAAGGGAUAGAUGCGACGGUUUACAGUUAUCUUCGCAUGGCAAGAUAAAUGAUAAACUUCCGAAAAGAUAAAUGUCAACUUUCCAAAAAAAUAAAUGUCAACUUUCCCGAUAAACACGAAAGCCGACGAAAAUGGAAAAAGUCUAGCCCACGGCAGACUCAGCCCACCAAGGAUAGACCGUCAUAUGGGAGUAUAUAAGCAAUGCUAGGAGCAGAGGAAGGAGGAUCCGAAAUCAGAGAGAAAAACCACUCCAGAGCAACUUAGAACUUAGGCGCUUAUUUCCAUUUUAGCGAGCUGCGACUCAACUAGGUUAGAUCUAGGUUUCGAGACUAGCGACGAUCGACAGCUCUUACAGCCGAGAUCUCGACCUGUUGUCCAAAACGUUCUCCGCAGAUUUGGAAAUAAGAUUCUUUCUUUUUGCUCUAUUCACUUUACGCAUUUAUUCUUGAAUUAGACUUGUUUUAACUUUGUCGUGCGUGGCCCAGCAGAUAGCCGGGAUCCUCGGGGAAAACUAGGUCAACUUAGUUUUCCUACGUUUUAACUUAAUUAAAAUCGACAGUGCGAAUUUCGGUUCCCACAAAUAUCUGUGUUUGACAGUAGUUAUAUAUGUAUACAUUCGAAAUUUUUAAAGUUUUUGCAGGUGGAUAUACAACUUACCAUCAUAUGAUAAAUUCUUGUCAGCAAUUUUCAUAAAUUGAUCAUAAUCACAAAACUUAAAUUUCUCGAAAUUCAUUAUUAUACUCUCUUCUAAUACCGAUGUGAUUGUUGAAUUUGCAUUCAAACGUAUAAGAAAAGAAUGAUCUGAAAUUUUGUAAAGUUCACCAGCCCUCCAUACUUCGAAAUUAUUGAACAUGUAAAUUUUGUCCUCUAUAAUUUUAAAAAAAAAAUUAAUCAAUGUGACGUGCAUAUAUUGAUCCCAUAAUUGUUGAUUCCUAUAUUUUAAUUUUUUCAUAAUAUAUUUAAAUAGUUUAUUUAUUUCAUUGAAAACUUUACCUUUUCAUCCAAUAGUAAGAAAUUUAUACUUAUAAUGUUUUAUUCUCCAUGUUUCAUUUUGAUGUCUUGAAGAAACUUGUAUGAAGGUAUGUUCGUGUUCUUGGUGUGUUUUAUCUACAUAUCACUGGCUCUGACGUUGAUGUGUAUUGUUACCUUGAGUCUCUGUACAAUGACUAAAGGAAAGUGAGGCAAAAGCAAUCUGAUGGGAGGUUUGUGUUGACACAUGUGAUGAAGUCAUUGAGGAGCUUUUAACCAAGGACUAUUCUUGUGAUAUUGCAAUGCCAGAUUUGAAGAAAAGAAUGGUGCGUUGGAGCCGAGGACUUUGAAGAGGAAGAAGAAAAGGAGGAGAAUGAAGGGAUGGCUAACGGGUCUGUAGAUGAGAAGGAUCAUCAAGUCAAAGAGAAAGAGAGAGGGAUAGGAGACGUGAUAGUCAUAGCAGAGUUUUAACAGUUUGACUUCAAUGUUUUAUUCUGCUAAAAAAAAGUUUCCAAUGUUUUGUUAUUUCUCUAUAAUAUAACAAUGGUCACCUUUGGAAAAAAUAAACAUUUCUGGUGUGCUAAGGUGGAAAGCAAAGAAUUCACCCCGCUUAUUAGUGAAGAUUCAAUGUUCAAUA